UGUCGUCAGCUCGUGUUGUGAAAUGUUGGGUUAAGUCCCGCAACGAGCGCAACCCUUAUCCUUUGUUGCCAGCGAUUCGGUCGGGAACUCAAAGGAGACUGCCAGUGAUAAACUGGAGGAAGGUGGGGAUGACGUCAAGUCAUCAUGGCCCUUACGACCAGGGCUACACACGUGCUACAAUGGCGCAUACAAAGAGAAGCGACCUCGCGAGAGCAAGCGGACCUCAUAAAGUGCGUCGUAGUCCGGAUUGGAGUCUGCAACUCGACUCCAUGAAGUCGGAAUCGCUAGUAAUCGUGGAUCAGAAUGCCACGGUGAAUACGUUCCCGGGCCUUGUACACACCGCCCGUCACACCAUGGGAGUGGGUUGCAAAAGAA
rnacentral:rRNA from 1 species